rnacentral:rRNA from 1 species
UACAGAGGUCUCGAGCGUUGUUCGGAUUCAUUGGGCGUAAAGGGUGCGUAGGCGGCGGGGUAAGUCUGAUGUGAAAUUCCAGGGCUCAACCUUGGGACUGCAUUGGAUACUGCCUUGCUAGAGAACUGGAGAGGAGACUGGAAUUUACGGUGUAGCAGUGAAAUGCGUAGAGAUCGUAAGGAAGACCAGUGGCGAAGGCGAGUCUCUGGACAGAUUCUGACGCUGAGGCACGAAGGCCAGGGGGAGCAAACGGG